AUGGCACUGAAGGCAAAGAAGGAAGCCCCUGCCCCUCCUAAAGCCAAAGCCAAAGCAAAGGCUUUGAAGGCCAAGAAAGUAGUGUUGAAAGGCGCCCACACCCACAUACACACAAAAAAUCUGGACGUCACCCACUUCCCGACGGCCCUAAACACUGUGGCUCAGGAGGCAGCCCAAAUAUCCUCGGAAGAGCACCCCUAGGAGAAACAGACUUGACCACUAUGCCAUCAUCAAACUCCCCCUCACCACCGAGUCAGCCAUGAAGAAAACAGAAGAUAGUAACACACUGGUAUUCAUUGUGGAUGUCAAGGCCAACAAGCACCAAAUUAAACAGGCUGUGAAGAACCUCUAUCCCAUUGACAUGUCAGGUCAAUACUCUGAUCAGGCCUGAUGGAGAGAAGAAGGUAUAUGUACGACUGGCUCCUGACUAUGAUGCUUCGGACAUUACCAACAAAACUGGGAUCAUCUAA
rnacentral:lncRNA from 1 species